rnacentral:rRNA from 1 species
AUUGAACGCAGGCGGCAGGCUUAACACAUGCAAGUCGAGCGGGGUGAUGGUGCUUGCACUAUCACUUAGCGGCGGACGGGUGAGUAAUGCUUAGGAAUCUGCCUAUUAGUGGGGGACAACAUCUCGAAAGGGAUGCUAAUACCGCAUACGUCCUACGGGAGAAAGCAGGGGAUCACUUGUGACCUUGCGCUAAUAGAUGAGCCUAAGUCGGAUUAGCUAGUUGGUGGGGUAAAGGCCUACCAAGGCGAGGAUCUGUAGCGGGUCUGAGAGGAUUAUCCGCCACACUGGGAAUGAGACACGGCCCAGACUCCUACGGGAGGCAGCAGUGGGGAAUAUUGGACAAUGGGGGGAACCCUGAUCCAGCCAUGCCGCGUGUGUGAAGAAGGCCUUUUGGUUGUAAAGCACUUUAAGCGAGGAGGAGGCUACCGAGAUUAAUACUCUUGGAUAGUGGACGUUACUCGCAGAAUAAGCACCGGCUAACUCUGUGCCAGCAGCCGCCGCGG